ensembl:lncRNA
GUUUGGAACAACAUGAGGGUGAGUAAAUAAUGACAGAAUUUUAGUUUUUGGGUGAAAAAUUCCUUUAAUCAUUAGCUUUGUCUUGCUGACAGCUACAGCUAUAGAAAUUCAUUGUGGUGUUGAUGGAAUAAACCUUUUCUAUGUCUAUAGGCUUGGGAACAAUCUUCAGAGUGAAAGCCUCUGUGACGGAGGAAGGAUUGAGCGGUUUGAAGAAAAAUUUUAAAAGUUCCAGACUGAUCACAGUUUGAGAAAUUUCUGAAUUUCGCUCAUUCUGGCGGCACCCAUUCACUGCAGAGGAUCCACUGGAGAGCAAGUGAUGUAAUGCUAAAUUUCUCCAAAUCUGCUCCAAUGAAAAAAAAACUCAUCUACAUCUUGGAUGACCUAAGGGUGAGUAAAUUUUCAGCAAAUUUUCACUUUUGGGGAACUAAUCCUUUAAAGGGUUAAAUCAUUUUAAGAUGACAUCGGGCAUUCAGACACCACAAAAAAAAAAAAAAAAAAAUGUGUAUGGUUAUUUAGCGAGACUAAUAAGUCUCUUAGGCUAUAGCUAAAUCUUUUGAGAAAGACUGCAAUAGUGAAGGCUGAAAUCACUCUGUGUGAUUCAUUUUGACUCCCCCCUCGUGCAGACAUUAAGGUCAUCUGUGCGCAACUCCCUAGAAGUCAUAAGAGAAAAGACACUUCAAGCAAUCCUGUGAUGAAAAGCCUCAUGCAGUCUGUGCAGCAAAUUCCUCAGUGAUGUCCAAAAGCUGAUUCAUUCUUCAAGACUUUGGACUACAGAUGACCAUCUUUUGCUCAGUUAGAAUACUUGAAAGCAUAUGGAUGUUGACGAGAGGAAUUUCAGGAGAAACAUUUAAGUCAGUUUUAAUAAUGUUUGAACAACAAAAUGUUCACCUGGAACAAGGAGCAUCUACACUGUAUGAGAGGAGAUCUGAAGAUUUUCUGCCCACAUGAGUUUGUGGAUGAGCUAAUCAAGCUGAUGACCCACAAAGUGAGUUCACAGGACUGAAUCUGUGAUAUCAAAGAACUUUAAUGAUAGAACAAUUGCUGGUUUCCUGUGACUCAGCUCAUGCAAGCUGGUAGGUAGCUCACACAAGGCGACUUAAGGCUAAUCCACUAUAAGCCACAGCAAAGUGUUUGAUGGUUCAAAGUGACUACAGGCUGAUCCUCUUUAGCUACUCACACUGGGAUGAGAAAGGCACACUUGUCUUAAGAGAUUUUCUAUUUCAUCAAUUAAAAGACUCCUACAUGGAGUUUAAUUGCAUUAAAUUGCAAAACUGCUAAUACAUUGUCAACAGAUAUUUCUAAAAAAAAAAAAAAAAAAAACUAUAUUGUACUAAUAUAUCUAAUUAUACAGUAAAUGUUGUUUUGAUGAUACUGAAUACAUUGUCUAACCAUUCUUCAGCUAGACCCAGAUGCACGUUUUUGGGCCUAAAGUGAGUAUUAAAUCCUUAUCAGAUCCCAGUUAUCUACAUUAAGCAAUAAUUCACACCUGUAUGCUGGCAUACCUCACAGUUCACUGAGCAUCGUCUUACAUUCCAGAAUUCAUAUGCAGUUUAUGUAAUCGACAUUUUUUAGCUGUAAGGGAUGUAAGCUGCAUGAUCUACUGUAUGAACAAAAAGUGGCAUAUACAUACACUACCAUAUAAAAGUUUGAGGUCAGUAAGUUUUUAUAAAAAAAUUUUUAAGAAAUUAUAACUUUUAUUAAGCAAUGAUGUAUUCAAUUCAUCAAAAGUGAUGGUAAAAAUAUUUAUAUUGUUACGAAAGGUUUAUAUUUCAAAUAAAAGUUGUUCUUUUGCUUUUCUUUUCA